rnacentral:rRNA from 1 species
GACGAACGCUGGCGGCGUGCUUAACACAUGCAAGUCGAACGGAAAGGCCCUGCUUUUGUGGGGUGCUCGAGUGGCGAACGGGUGAGUAACACGUGAGUAACCUGCCCUUGACUUUGGGAUAACUUCAGGAAACUGGGGCUAAUACCGGAUAGGAGCUCCUGCUGCAUGGUGGGGGUUGGAAAGUUUCGGCGGUUGGGGAUGGACUCGCGGCUUAUCAGCUUGUUGGUGAGGUAGUGGCUUACCAAGGCUUUGACGGGUAGCCGGCCUGAGAGGGUGACCGGCCACAUUGGGACUGAGAUACGGCCCAGACUCCUACGGGAGGCAGCAGUGGGGAAUAUUGCACAAUGGGCGGAAGCCUGAUGCAGCGACGCCGCGUGCGGGAUGACGGCCUUCGGGUUGUAAACCGCUUUCGCCUGUGACGAAGCGUGAGUGACGGUAAUGGGUAAAGAAGCACCGGCUAACUACGUG